UUUCCGUAGGUGAACCUGCGGAAGGAUCAUUAUUGGAUUUUGAAACUUCAGGCUGCUGCUGGCUCUCCUCGGAGGGCAUGUGCACGCUUGUUGUCCAUUAUUUCUCCCACUGUGCACAAAUUGUAGACCUUUCAGUAGGCCUAUGUUGUUUUGCACAAUCUCUGAAUGUAAUAGAAUGGUUUUGAAUCUUGGGAAAUACAAUACAACUUUCAGCAACGGAUCUCUUGGCUCUC
rnacentral:misc_RNA from 1 species